rnacentral:rRNA from 1 species
GACGAACCGUGCGAACGUUAUUCGGAAUCACUGGGCUUAAAGCGCGUGUAGGCGGGGCGGCACGUCGGUCGCUGAAAGCCCCCGGCUCAACCGGGGAACGGGCGCCGAUACGACCGCCCUGGAGGGACGUAGGGGGACCUGGAAUUUCCAGUGGAGCGGUGAAAUGUGUAGAUAUUGGAAAGACCACCGAUGGCGAAGGCACUCUACUGGGCCAUGACUGACACUGAGAGACGAAAGCUAGGGGAGCAAAUGGG